UGGUCCUCAAUGGUUAAAUGUACCUGG
rnacentral:piRNA from 1 species